ensembl:lncRNA
UAUUUCUACUGAUUUUUAAAAAUUUCUUCUAUUAUAUAUAUUUUUUCUGCUAGUUCUUUUAGAAAUAGUACAUAGUCCUUGUUUUCAGGGAUACGAUAUUUUCUGUAUUGAAAAAUGUUUAAUCACAGAUUUUUUUUCCACAAAAUCUUCUGCUUCCUGCACUGUCUCUAGUUCUCUUUCAUGAUGUUUGUUUUGGUCUCUGUAUUUCAUGAUGAAGGCUUUUCUCUAGUUCUCCUUGGUCCUCCCUACAUAUUUAAGUGUAAAAUACAGAAAAGGAUUACCAGAGGUGUCAGAUAAGAGGGGGAGUCAGAGUAGAAACAAUAUUCUUUACAAGUUGCAGUUCAAAUAUCUUUAUUUUUGCAAAACUUACAAAAACAUUAUGUCCCAUUGUUGAUUUAUAGCUCUAUAAUUAUUUACAGUUAUUUAGUGAGAUUUUGGUGGCAGAGGAAAUAAAUAUGGUAAUCUUUUUUUUUUUUUUUUUUUUUUUGAGACGGAGUCUCGCUAUGUCGCCCAGGCUGGAGUGCAGUGGCCGGAUCUUAGUUCACUGCAAGCUCCGCCACCCGGGUUUACGCCAUUCUCCUGCCUCAGCCUCCCGAGUAGCUGGGACUACAGGUGCCCGCCACCUCGCCCGGCUAGUUUUUUGUAUUUUUUAGUAGAGACGGGGUUUCACCGGGUUAGCCAGGAUGGUCUCGAUCUGCUGACCUCGUGAUCCGCCCGUCUCGGCCUCCCAAUAUGGUAAUCAUUUUGUACACCCCUCCUGAAUAAUAAUUUGGCUGGGAAUCAAAUUUUUUUUUUUUUUUUUUAGAGAGACAUGGUCUCACUCUGUUGCCUGGGCUGCAGUGCAGUGGCACAAUCCUCCCACCUCAGCCUCCUGAGUAGCUGGGAUGACAGGCUCACACCACCACGCCUAAUUCUUUUUUUUUUUUUUUUUGUAGAGAUGAGGUCUCACUAUGUUGCCCAGCCUGGCUUGAACUCCUGGACUCAAGCAAUCCUCUCACUUCAGGCUCCAAAAGUGCUAGGAUUACAGGUUCCUAUGGAGCUGGUCCGGAGCAUCCAGAUGACACUGGCACAUGAAGUAAGUUGUAUGAGAAGAAUAUGAACAUGAGAAAUCCAUCACUUUAAUAGCAAGCAGCGAACAGACCUCCUCUUUGUCCAGAGAGAGGCAUUACCCCAUCCCUCAAGGUUGCCUGCUGCGAACAGCCCUGAGAAAAGGCUCAGAUAAAGCAUGAUCACGGCUUGGCAUUUGUGGAAAUCAGAGUGACGGGCAGUGGCCUGAGAGACCCAGGAGGGCUAUCUUUCCUCAACAGGGAGGAAGUUGAGAUGGCAAGAAAUGCACUUUUAAAUGUAAAACUGAAGAGGCUGUGGGAGCAGGAUGGUCACUCAGUACUGGUGGAGGCCUCAGGUGCAGCUUUUGAGGCAAUGUGGCAGUGACUCCAACUGAUCUACCAGUCUUGACCUUUACCUGACAAUGUCUAAUCAUUGAGGGAGGGAGGGAGAGAGACGGGAGGGAGAAGAUAUAAGAACAAUCAGGAAGAGCAGAAAGGAAAUAAAGUGAACCUGAGGUAUUUGCGAAGGAGGCAGAAUGAUGUUUAGGGAGACACAAGAUUAUGGGAAGAGUGGCUAGGGUUUGCUUCUUGGAUGUGAAUUAUUUGGCAAAAAGUUCUGCCAGGGCACGGGAGAAAGUCAGGAGAGAGAUGAGCAGCAGCGGAGCUGAGGAUACCAGUUGCCAAGGAAAGUAUCUGUGCAGGUCCCCAUGACAGGGCAAAGACUUCCGUAAUCAUAUGCGCCAAAGGCUGAGGUAGAAAAGGCCUGGGAACAUGGUCCAUGUGCCAGCCCACAAUAGGUCACACACAGAAGCAAAGAGGGGUAGGGGCUGGAGGGAGCUGGGG